rnacentral:rRNA from 1 species
AACGAACGCUGGCGGCAUGCCUAACACAUGCAAGUCGAACGAGACCUUCGGGUCUAGUGGCGCACGGGUGCGUAACGCGUGGGAAUCUGUCCCUUGGUUCGGAAUAACAGCGAGAAAUUGCUGCUAAUACCGGAUAAUGACGUAAGUCCAAAGAUUUAUCGCCAAGGGAUGAGCCCGCGUAGGAUUAGCUAGUUGGUGUGGUAAAGGCGCACCAAGGCGACGAUCCUUAGCUGGUCUGAGAGGAUGAUCAGCCACACUGGGACUGAGACACGGCCCAGACUCCUACGGGAGGCAGCAGUGGGGGAAUAUUGGACAAUGGGCGAAAGCCUGAUCCAGCAAUGCCGCGUGAGUGAUGAAGGCC